UACGUAGGGGCCUAGCGUUGUCCGGAUUUAUUGGGCGUAAAGAGCUCGUAGGCGGUUCGGCAAGUCGGAUGUGAAAUCUCCACGCUCAACGUGGAGGGGCCAUUCGAAACUGCUGUGACUUGAGUCCGGUAGGGGGGUGUGGAAUUCCCGGUGUAGCGGUGAAAUGCGCAGAUAUCGGGAGGAACACCAGAGGCGAAGGCGGCGACCUGGACAAGCACUGACACUCAACUACGAAAGCGUGGGGAGCAAACAGG
rnacentral:rRNA from 1 species